GUAAGGAGUCAUGUUUCUUUUCUUUUUUUCUUCGUAAGUGGAAUAGGUUUUGUAAAUCAACUAAUUCGGCUAAUCAUCACUUUAGAGCUGACAAAAUUGAAGACGAGAAAUAUUAGGGGCGAGACUCAAAUGCAGUCCUUCUGACUUUUUCUGCUGCGGAAGCUGCCAUGAAAUUUGUCCACACACAUCUUGUAUGGCUUCUAUUCGACAAAGGUGAGAGAGAAAGAUCCCAAUAUGACAUAAUUCACUGUUUUGUGCUUCUGUCCAUAACUGAGGAGCUGCUAUGAGAGGCCAAGUCUAGACACUCUGCUUCGGGGCAGUCGUAGGAAACAGUGAGGAUCAAGGACAGAAGCAAAUGAGCUUUCUUCUAUGUAAACACGGUGCUACACUAAGUGAAGUGAUG